rnacentral:rRNA from 1 species
GACGAACGCUGGCGGCGUGCCUAAUACAUGCAAGUAGAACGCUGAAGGAGGAGCUUGCUCUUCUGGAUGAGUUGCGAACGGGUGAGUAACGCGUAGGUAACCUGCCUGGUAGCGGGGGAUAACUAUUGGAAACGAUAGCUAAUACCGCAUAAUAGUAGAUGUUGCAUGAUAUUUACUUAAAAGGUGCAAUUGCACCACUACCAGAUGGACCUGCGUUGUAUUAGCUAGUUGGUGGGGUAACGGCUCACCAAGGCGACGAUACAUAGCCGACCUGAGAGGGUGAUCGGCCACACUGGGACUGAGACACGGCCCAGACUCCUACGGGAGGCAGCAGUAGGGAAUCUUCGGCAAGGGACGAAAGUCUGACCGAGCAACGCCGCGUGAGUGAAGAAGGUUUUCGGAUCGUAAAGCUCGGUUGUAAGAGAAGAACGAGUGUGAGAGUGGAAAGUUCACACUGUGACGGUAUCUUACCAGAAAGGGACGGCUAACUACGUG